GAUGAACGCUAGCGAUAGGCUUAACACAUGCAAGUCGAGGGGCAUCGAGGGUAGCAAUACCUGUCGGCGACCGGCGCACGGGUGAGUAACGCGUAUGUAACCUGCCCGCAACAGAGGGAUAACCCGGCGAAAGUCGGACUAAUACCUCAUAAAACAGGGGUUCCGCAUGGGGCUAUUUGUUAAAGAUUUAUUGGUUGCGGAUGGGCAUGCGUACCAUUAGGUAGUUGGUGAGGUAACGGCUCACCAAGCCAUCGAUGGUUAGGGGUUCUGAGAGGAAGGUCCCCCACACUGGUACUGAGACACGGACCAGACUCCUACGGGAGGCAGCAGUGAGGAAUAUUGGUCAAUGGGCGAGAGCCUGAACCAGCCAAGUCGCGUGAAGGAAGACAGUCCUAAGGAUUGUAAACUUCUUUUAUACGGGAAUAACGGGCGAUACGAGUAUUGCAUUGAAUGUACCGUAAGAAUAAGCAUCGGCUAACUCCGUGCCAGCAGCCGCGGUAAUACGGAGGAUGCGAGCGUUAUCCGGAUUUAUUGGGUUUAAAGGGUGCGUAGGUUGUUCGGUAAGUCAGCGGUGAAACCUGAGCGCUCAACGUUCAGCCUGCCGUUGAAACUGCCGGGCUUGAGUUCAGUGGCGGCAGGCGGAAUUCGUGGUGUAGCGGUGAAAUGCAUAGAUAUCACGAGGAACUCCGAUUGCGAAGGCAGCUUGCCAUACUGCGACUGACACUGAAGCACGAAGGCGUGGGUAUCAAACAGG
rnacentral:rRNA from 1 species